ACCCUUGAUACCCGGAAGAUUUUAAAUCAAGAUAAGAUUUAAAAGAAUUCGGAAGGGGAAUUUCCGUUAAAUCUUGCAAGAGGACGAGACGUUCAAUAUAUAAAGCAUUCUGUCUAUAACAUUAAUUUGUAAUCAUCAGUAAAAUUACAAGUAAAACAAGAUGAAGUCUCUUCCCGUAUUCAUUUUAAUUGCUUUCAUUAUCAUGAGUGCUAAUCUAAUUAUUAGCAACGAUGCUUCGUUUGCACCCCGUCGUUGUAGAAGCCAUCGCGAAUGUAGAAGAUUUUGUAGCGGUUUUGGAGGAAGAUGUACUAGAGCUAGACAAUGUAUUUGUUCUUACGGUCGUUGAUUUUUUCAUGGAAUUCCUUACCUUUAUGAUAAAAUUUGUAUCUUAAUCAAUCCUUUAUAAUAGUCAAAACACAUGUAUUUUAAGAAAUUGAUUGUGGCGCGCUUCUAAAUAUUACUAUGUGCUUCUGUACUAAACUUUCAUCUUAAUAAAUUUAUUGCAAGUUAAAAU